rnacentral:tRNA from 1 species
GAGCCGCUAGCUCAUCCGGUAGAGCAACGGCCUUUUAAGCCGUGGGUGCCGAGUUCAAGUCUCGGGCGGCUCACCA